rnacentral:rRNA from 1 species
UCCUACGGGGCGCAGCAGUAGGGAAUCUUCCACAAUGGACGAAAGUCUGAUGGAGCAACGCCGCGUGAGUGAAGAAGGGUUUCGGCUCGUAAAGCUCUGUUGGUAGUGAAGAAAGAUAGAGGUAGUAACUGACCUUUAUUUGACGGUAAUUACUUAGAAAGUCACGGCUAACUACGUGCCAGCAGCCGCGGUAAUACGUAGGUGGCAAGCGUUGUCCGGAUUUAUUGGGCGUAAAGCGAGUGCAGGCGGGUCAAUAAGGCUGAUGUGAAAGGCUUUCG